UACGUAGGUGGCAAGCGUUGUCCGGAUUUACUGGGCGUAAAGAGCGCGCAGGCGGUCGGCCAAGUCGAGUGUGAAAGCCCCCGGCUCAACUGGGGAGGGUCACGCGAUACUGAUCGACUCGAAGGCAGGAGAGGGAAGUGGAAUUCCCGGUGUAGUGGUGAAAUGCGUAGAUAUCGGGAGGAACACCAGUGGCGAAGGCGGCUUUCUGGCCUGUUCUUGACGCUGAGGCGCGAAAAGCUAGGGGAGCAAACGGGG
rnacentral:rRNA from 1 species